rnacentral:rRNA from 1 species
AUUGAACGCUGGCGGCAGGCCUAACACAUGCAAGUCGAGCGGAGCGGCGGACGGGUGAGUAAUGCCUAGGAAUCUGCCUGGUAGUGGGGGAUAACGUCCGGCAACGGGCGCUAAUACAGCAUACUAUCAGAUGAGGCUAGGUCGGUUUAGCUCGUUGGGGGGGUAAAGGUCUACCAGGGCGACGAUCCGUAUCUGGUCUGAGAGGAUGAUCAGUCACACUGGAACUGAGACACGGUCCAGACUCCUACGGGAGGCAGCAGUGGGGAAUAUUGGACAAUGGGCGAAAGCCUGAUCCAGCCAUGCCGCGUGUGUGAAGAAGGUCUUCGGGUUGUAAAGCACUUUAAGUUGGGAGGCGGUACCAGCAGAAUAAGCACCGGCUAACUACGUGCCAGCAGCCGCGGUAAUUC